rnacentral:rRNA from 1 species
CCUGCAGAAAAAGCGCCGGCUAACUACGUGCCAAGCAGCCGCGGUAAUACGUAGGGCGCAAGCGUAAUCCGGAAUUANUGGGCGUACAACUUGGUAGGCGGGUUGUCGCGUCUGCUGUGAAAUCNCGAGGCUCAACCUCGGCUGCAGUGGGUACGGGCAGACUAGAGUGCGGUAGGGGAGAUUGGAAUUCCUGGUGUAGCGGUGGAAUGCGCAGAUAUCAGGAGGAACACCGAUGGCGAAGGCAGAUCUCUGGGCCGUAACUGACGCUGAGGAGCGAAAGGGUGGGGAGCAAACAGGCUUAGAUACCCUGGUAGUCCACCCCGUAAACGUUGGGAACUAGUUGUGGGGUCCAUUCCACGGAUUCCGUGACGCAGCUAACGCAUUAAGUUCCCCGCCUGGGGAGUACGGCCGCAAGGCUAAAACUCAAAGGAAUUGACGGGGACCCGCACAAGCGGCGGAGCAUGCGGAUUAAUUCGAUGCAACGCGAAGAACCUUACCAAGGCUUGACAUAUACGAGAACGGGCCAGAAAUGGUCAACUCUUUGGACACUCGUAAACAGGUGGUGCAUGGUUGUCGUCAGCUCGUGUCGUGAGAUGUUGGGUUAAGUCCCGCAACGAGCGCAACCCUCGUUCUAUGUUGCCAGCACGUAAUGGUGGGAACUCAUGGGAUACUGCCGGGGUCAACUCGGAGGAAGGUGGGGAUGACGUCAAAUCAUCAUGCCCCUUAUGUCUUGGGCUUCACGCAUGCUACAAUGGCCGGUACAAAGGGCUGCAAUACCGCGAGGUGGAGCGAAUCCCAAAAAGCCGGUCCCAGUUCGGAUUGAGGUCUGCAACUCGACCUCAUGAAGUCGGAGUCGCUAGUAAUCGCAGAUCAGCAACGCUGCGGUGAAUACGUUCCCGGGUCUUGUACACACCGCCCGUCAAUCAUGAAAGUCGGUAACACCUGAAGCCGGUGGCCUAACCCUUGUGGAGGGAGCCGUCGAAGGGGGA